UGUUGAAAUGAUGUUUGGAUUUGAGUGAUAAAUUAGGUUUUAGAUGUAUGAAUCUUAAAGUGAAAGUUAACGUAGUUUUGGAGGAGACCUGUAAUUAUUACUAGAAGAUGCCUUUGCUUGUUCAUUUUUCAUGAAGUUUCAAUGUUGAAGUUUGAUAGUAGAGUGGAGUGAUUCGAGCUUCAAAUUAGUGGACCUGGUGUUAUAGUUUAUGAGGAUAGGAUGAUAAUGACGGAUAGUUUUUAGAAUAUUUGGUGUUAAUUUAUAUAAUUUUAUGUUAUUU
rnacentral:lncRNA from 1 species